GGGUACUCCCGCUGCAGCCCCCGAAGCUCCAUCUCCUCCGGAUCACUCACCGAGCCCGUGGACAUCCCGUUGUCCCCCUUGCCCACACGCGUCCUCUUUCCUCCCCCCUGGCCAGUCUCGCUGUCUCCGCCUUCCGCUCCCUGGCGGAGGCGGAGGCCAGAGAGCGCUCCAAGGAAGACUAAAAACCCAGGCCGGGAAGCGCGGGGUGAGAAAGCGAGGUGGGUGGCGAGAGCGUGAGCGCCCCUCUGCUGACCCCGGGGAGCGUGGACUACGAGUUGGCGCCCAAGUCCAGAAUCCGCGCGCACCGCGGAAAAUAUUUGCAAUACCUGCCACGUCCAAGGUUCAGCUGAGGCCAAUGUAAAGCCAGUAUUAUAGGACACUUCUCAGACUGAGAGCCCAAUGUCGUUGGAAACCACUGGGCCACAGGAAAGGCAGGCUCUCUCAGUCCUGCUCCUGCCAUGGAAGAAGCCUGCUCCCACCAUGCCUUCUGCCACGAGUAAAAGUUCCCUGAGGCCUCCCCAGAAGCAGAUGCUGUCGUGCUUCCUGUAUAGCUGCAGAACUACUUAUAGAUGGGGUCACACACCAUUCUACAAAGAGGGGAGUCUCUCCGUGAAAUGACUUGAACUUAUAAAGCGCAUUCUGCUAUGUGGUUGCCUCACCAACUCCCUUCCUGCCUGGACUAUUACAGUAACCUGUGGAUUGGUCUCCUUGCCUUGAGACGAUGACAUUUCUGGCACCUAAACCCAUCAGCAUCAAGUUGUUCUUUUGAAAACAUAAAUAUGACCAUGUUACAUGUUUUUAAACCUUUCAAUGGAAUACUUUCACCUACAGGAUAAUGUUUAGAUUUUUUAACAUGGCAUGCAUGACGCUUCACUCUCUGGCUUCCACACAUUCUCCAGAAUUACUUCCUGUCACUCUCCUAUGUCUAUUCUUGUCUCCAACAAUUCCCAACCUCUUGUGCUGUGGUCCAUGGCUCUCCAUGCCUCAUGCCUGUGCUGUCCUGGAGCACUUCCUUCAACUGAUACACAAAAAAAGUCUUGCUUAUUCUUCCCUGAUCUACCUGGGUUUCACCUUCACCUGUAUGCAGAGUUAAUGCCUUCCCGCUGUCUGUUCCCAUAUCAGGCUGUGUACUAUUGAAAUAUUCAUCACUCCCUUCAGGCUGUGGCUUAAUGUGCCCAUCUCCUUAUCAGCCUUGGCAAUUUAAGGACAGAGGUUUUGUUUUGUUUUUUGUUUUUUAAUCUCUCUCAUUUUUGUGUGUUCUCAGGAGCAGGAGAGAAGGGAUGUUAAUAUGUUGAAUUAAUGUUAAUCAUUAAAACCAUCACAACCCCAAAUUUCUUUAAUCCCUACUUAAUCCAAAUUGAUUGAAUUUGUACAAUUUUCAUGAAUGUUGAAUAAUCUUGAGGUGAAAUAAUCUUAUUUCACAAAAUAAAAAUUUGUUGAAAUAUCAUUCAACAAAGAUAUUAUUCUAAAUAUUCAAAACCGAAAGAAAGCAUAGGUCAUAGAGCUAUUUGGUGGUCAGUUCAGAGGAAACUUUGACAGGAUGAUGCCAACAAUGGGAAAAAAAAAGCCCCAAUAACCAUCCUGUCUUAUAACCUACAAAUAAUGUUACAUACAAUUUUAAAUUCAAAUAUAUUUGUUAGCAUGUUUGAAAUCUAUUUUUGUUUGUUUGUUUUCCUGGGCUCCUCAGAUAGUGAAUUGGACUUAGGAACAGAUUUUGAAGAAUAAACUAGAAUCAGUCAAGUGGAUGGAGGGUAAAUGUCCUCUAGGGGGAUAACUCACCAGAAAAAGAGGCUGAAGAGUAGGCAGCAAGGGAAGAGCUGGUGGCUCCUCAUCUGUAGCACAGGGUGUUGUGAAAGUAGGAGAGAGAAGGCUGGCACGGGGUGGGGGCGGGUGCAGAGCAGGUCAUGUAGGGUCAUACAAACCUCACUAAAUUCCAAAGACCACAGGAAGUCUCAGAAGCAUUUUUCCAGGGGAGGGAUGCUAUCAGAUUUGCAAAAAAGUAGACUUGAAAAUCAUUCUCAAGGUAGCACAGGUGCUGGAAGAAUAAUGAAAAUUACUGACCUUCAAAAAGUCCUUAUUCUGUGCCUGGUAUUAUUCCGGGCAUAUUACAUAUGUUACUGCUUUUCAUUUUCACAGCAAACUAAGAGGUGAAUACUAGCAUGUCUUCUUUUACUAAGCUACAUGCACACUAAGUAGCAACACUGAGAUCCAAAUCAAGGUAAUCAGGCAGGAGAGUCCGUGCAAUUACCCUUGCUAUAGUGCCUCCCCAAAGGCAGGAGGAAUUGGAGUCCGGAGGUGGAUAGCUUAGUUAAAAAACAAAAGCAACAGUAGAAGGAAGAAAUAAUAACCUAGGGUAGUGAUGAAGCAAAAAGAGAGAUACAAAUGUAAGAGAUAUUUAGAAAGUAAAAUUAAUUAGGUUUGAUAACCCCUUAAAAAUCAGGUAGAGGGUGAUGUUCAAUGUCUGCCUCAGACAGGUGGAGGUGCUAUUUGCAAGAAUAAAGAACAGAAGCAGCAUCAGGUGGAGAGGGAGCUUUUGGCAAUGUUUGGGAUUCAAUAUGUGAAGCUAGUAUUAUAAAACAGUGUAGCAAAGUGAUAUAUUAGGAGUUAUAAAUGCACAGAGGAGGAAGUGACUCAUUCUGAUUAAAGAAGACUCAGAUAAGUUAUCUGAACUUUGAAAGAUGUGUAGAUUUUCCCCAGUUGCAAAAUGAAAGAAAGGGUAUUACAGGCAUAUGGAAUAAAAUGUGCAAGUUAAGGCAUCGUAGGAAAGCAGGGUAAAUCCCAAGGUACCGUGAGAAUCCGGGCCGGCUGCAGAGUGCAUGGCAGAGAAUGGGAGCUGAUGCUGAAGGAAAGCAGGAGUGAAACUGGGGAAAGUUUCCACAUGCUUAGGAGCUGUUCCUCUCUGCCCAGGAGCAAAAUAUACUCUCACAAGUCCCAGGGUCGGUCAGUGCUUGUGUGUAGUUGUACCUUUGGAAGGUUAUGCCCAAGGUGACAUGUGAAAGCUGCUGGCCAGGUUUAGGGAAUCACAAAGAAAUUGAAGGCUGAAGUUCACAGGCUGGCCAGCCCCAGAGGAAAUUCUAUUUUCACAUGAGGAUUCUGCUUUGCUCUCUAGCCUCAGAAUGUGGCAUGGUGGCAGCUGUCAUAGUAUAGCAUCUUGCAUAGUGUUGUGCUCCUUGACUAGGAAGAUAUACCCCUUGAGAGACUGGUGGACAGUGGUGGGCAUUAUUUCCAAUCCCCUCUCCAGGUCCCUAUGUCUCUCAUAUAGAAGUCUGCUACUGAUGACAAAUCUGGUUUAUUGAGCAACUUAUUAUGCCUUACAAGCCACCUUGUAUAUUAAGUGCCCUGCUUUCCUCCCUUUCCUGGCUUGUUCUCCAGUCACUCAAGUCUCAGGAAUGUUUUCUUUUCAUUUCUUUUAUUUUUUAACUUCAUCUCAAUUUUGGGUUUUUUUUCAACUUUUAUUAUAGCUUCAGGGGGUACAUGUGCAUGUUUAAAGGAAUAUUGUGUGAUGCUGAGGUUUGGAGUACAAAUGAAUCCAUCUCCCAGGUAGUGAGCAUAGUACCCAGUAGGUAGUUUUUCAGCCCUUGCCCACUUCUUCCCUCCCUACUCUUGUAUUCCCCAGCAUCUAUUCUCAUCCUUAUGUCCACGUGUACUUUAUGCUUAGUUCCUAAUCAUAACUGAGGACACGUGGUAUUUGGUUUUCUAUUCUUGUAUCGGUUCACUUAGGAUCAUGGCCUCUAUCUGGAACCAUUUUGCUACAAAGGAUAUGAUUUUGUUGUUUUUCGUGGCUGCAGAGUAUUCCAUGCUGGAUACGUAUCACAUCUUUAUCCAAUCCAGAGUUGAUGGGCUCCUGCAUUGAUUCCUUGCCUUUGCUAAUGUGAAUGCUGCUGCAAUGAACAUAGGGGCGCAUGUGCGUUUUUGGUAGGACAACUUAUUUUCCUUUGCAUUUAUGUCCAGUAAUGGAAACUUUUCUUUAUGCUUUCAAAUUUUAUGCCCUGCCAUCAUUCCAGCAUCUAUCACACUUGGUUUAAUUAUUUGUUUAAGUCUAUGUAUCCUCCCCCGGACUGUGAUUUUCUUGCCUCCACCCCACCCUCACUCCCUUAUUUCUGUAAUAGUUGUGCCUAGAACAGUGCCAGGCACAUAGUCACUCAUUACAGUUUCUUGUUGAAAGUAAUUGAAUAGUAUGGAAGAAAAAGGGAAGCUUUUUACUUAUUUACCAUGGAAACUGCUCUCAAUGUGAUUAGUAAGCAAACUUUUCUUCUUCCUUCGUUUUCCCCCAUAGUCAGAAACUCUCACUGCAGGCUUCGGAAAUGCAAUCCUUAUGGAGCUUGAUGCUUGGCUAUCCUCACAGUAGAUCAAGACUGCACUCCUAUUCCCAUAUUUCAAGAGAUAAUUUUUCUUGAUUAUGCAUGAAAUGCACUUAUCUGUGGAGGAAUCGAUCAGUUCUGACUAUUUACACAGUUCACAUCUGCAGGAGGAAACUCUUUCAUAAAUAAGAUGCAGCGAAGUCCAGAAUCUGUGAAAUCAUUUUGGCCCAAAUGAGUCUUUUGUGUCCUUUGUUCAUGGAGAUUGGGUGAAGCAAGGUGCACCUGUUUCAAUAGUAAAGCAGCCCCACUGAGGAAAGGACUUUUUGAGUUGUGUCAUUAGAAGUCAUCAUUGCAUAUGUGAGAGAAGAGAGGAAGGAAAGGGCAGGAUGCAGUCACAUAACAGGUAAGAAGGUAAAACAAUGUUCUCUUAAAAUAGUGGAGUGCAUCUAUCCCACUUUAAUUUGGCCUCAAAUAGCAGUUGUAUGCAUUUUGCUUCUAAUUCCAGUGUUCUCAGUGAAAAAAAGGAAACUGACCAUGGAUUUAUUCCAGGGCAUUUAUGCCUGACCUGCUACCUGUUAUGGACAGAACAUCUUGUAGGUUCUUUAUCCUCCUGUAUGGACAUAGGGGAAGACAAUAUUGACUAGUUAAUCUUGGCAGGUAAUUAUUAGAAGAUGCCUGUUUUGUUUGUUUUGAAUAUCUAAAUUAUCCUAGAAGGAGAAAAAGUAGGAUCCCCAAAGGGGUUGGCAUCUGAGUUGAAUUUUGAAGCAUGAGAAGAAGCUAGCAGGCAAAGAUUGUGGGGGAUGAGUAUUCAAAACCUAGGGCACCCACGUGCACACGCAGGGAAAAAGAAACCAAGGUGUUGUACUCAGAAAAUGCAGAAAUACUGAGAGUAGCUCAAUCAGACUAGAGUGUAGGUUAAGGGAGUGAGAAAGUAACCUAGGCAGGUAUGCAGAAGCCCGAUGAAAAAAAGACCUUAUAAAACACCCCAAGGACUGUGCCAAUUAUUUAGAAGUGAAUGAGGAGUCAGUUGAAGAUUUUAAGAAGGAAAGUCACAUGGUUAGGGUUUUAUGAUAGAAACACAACUUUGGCAAUGGAACCCAAAACACCUAAUUGAGGCAAAUCUGUAGGUGGGGGAGAAGGCCAGCAAUGUCAGGCCCAGUCCAGUAUGUACACCUGAGAAAAACUUCCACAUGUGCAUGUAAGACACAAAGAUUUGUUUCAGCCUUUUUUGCUAUAGAAGUACUAGAAACAGUCUAAACAGUCACUAUUAAAGGAUUGCAUAUAUAAAAUGCAGCAGUGCCACAGAAUGAAUGUAUUACCACAAUUAAAUGGCAUGAAUUUGAUCUUUAUAU
ensembl:lncRNA MSC-AS1 MSC antisense RNA 1